rnacentral:tRNA from 1 species
AAAUUUGAAACAAAGUAUUGUAAUCAGUUUCGACCUGAUAUUUAAGUUAAAUCUUUAACUCUAAUUUA